rnacentral:rRNA from 1 species
UAGGAUGUUGGUGAAAUGGCUUUAAACGACCCGUCUUGGAACACGGACCAAGGAGUCUAACAUAUCUGCGAGUAUUUGGGUGUCAAACCCGGAUGCGUAAUGAAAGUGAAUGGAGGUGGGAAGCGCAAGCUGCACCAUCGACCGAUCUGGAUUUUUUAAGAUGGAUUUGAGUAAGAGCACGUAUGUUGGGACCCGAAAGAUGGUGAAC